UGGUAUUAUAUUUAAUAUUGGGUUCAAUUAUUAUACAUUUUGAAGACACAGCCUAUAAAUUCACCUCUCAUUAAGGAAAGGUGUUAUAAACACAGAAAUAGCCCAACUUUUAUAUUUUAAUACUUUUUUUUUUUUUUUUUUGAGACAGGGUCUUGCUCUGUCACCGGCUGGAGUGCAGUGGUGUGAUCUAGGCUCACUGCAGCCUUGACCUCGCAGGCUCAGGUGAUCCUCCCUAGUAGCUGAGGCAGGAGAAUUGCUUGAACCCAGGAGGUGGA
rnacentral:lncRNA from 1 species